UGGGGAAUAUUGGACAAUGGGCGCAAGCCUGAUCCAGCCAUGCCGCGUGUGUGAAGAAGGCCUUUUGGUUGUAAAGCACUUUAAGCGAGGAGGAGGCUACUUGGAUUAAUACUCUAGGAUAGUGGACGUUACUCGCAGAAUAAGCCCCGGCUAACUCUGUGCCAGCAGCCGCGGUAAUACAGAGGGUGCGAGCGUUAAUCGGAUUUACUGGGCGUAAAGCGUGCGUAGGCGGCUUCUUAAGUCGGAUGUGAAAUCCCUGAGCUUAACUUAGGAAUUGCAUUCGAUACUGGGAAGUUAGAGUAUGGGAGAGGAUGGUAGAAUUCCAGGUGUAGCGGUGAAAUGCGUAGAGAUCUGGAGGAAUACCGAUGGCGAAGGCAGCCAUCUGGCCUAAUACUGACGCUGAGGUGCGAAAGCAUGGGGAGCAAACAGG
rnacentral:rRNA from 1 species